GACGAACGCUGGCGGCGUGCUUAACACAUGCAAGUCGAACGGGCCUUGUCCCCUUUUUUUUGGGGGGUGGGGUUAGUGGCGAACGGGUGAGCAACACGUGAGUAACCUGCCCCUCACUUCUGGAUAACCGCUUGAAAGGGUGGCUAAUACGGGGUGUUCUGGCCUGCUCGCAUGGGUGGGUUUGGAAAGAUUCGACCGGUUUUGGUUGUUUUGGUGGGGGAUGGGCUCGCGGCCUAUCAGCUUGUUGGUGGGGUGAUGGCCUGCCAAGGCUUUGACGGGUAGCCGGCCUGAGAGGGUGGGCGGUCACACUGGGACUGAGACACGGCCCAGACUCCUACGGGAGGCAGCAGUGGGGAAUAUUGCACAAUGGGCGCAAGCCUGAUGCAGCGACGCCGCGUGAGGGAUGGAGGCCUUCGGGUUGUGAACCUCUUUCGCCAGUGAAGAAGGUCCUGCUCUUUGUGGUGGGGUUGACGGUAGCUGGGUUAAUGAAGCGCCGGCUAACUACGUG
rnacentral:rRNA from 1 species